rnacentral:piRNA from 1 species
GCUAGAGUCGUCAGAGAACAGGGAAC